GUAAUGGUGUUGUGUAUGGGGAGUCUGAAGGGCUGCAGACAGUCUCCAUGGGCCCCUGGGCAAGGUGGGGGACAGAUCCUGUGCUCCUGAAAGGGCAGGGUCUCAGAUGGAAGGGUGGGGCUGGGGCAAAGAACCUUCUGCACCACCUGAAGCACAGUACCUCCCCAGACUUCAGAGCCGCACAGUGUGCUGCGUUCCAACUGCAAUUUAAAGGGCCCAGGGUUCUAACUGACACGGCUGUUGCAGUAGUUGGAGGCCCCAGGCCCAUUUGAAUCACUGCCCUUCCUCCAGCAAUUGCCUCCUUUGUGUCCCCCCAUCAGUGGGCCUGGGAGUUAAGCACCUAAAUUGCUUCAUGGAUCAGAAAUUGGGAACAGUGAACAACGGAGAGGAGAGGGAAAGUUGAAUCAUGGAGUGCUUACAGGUCCCACCUCUUACAGCAAUCCAAAUUUGCAUUUUGCAAUCACACUUUUCUCUCAGCAUGAGCAAAUUGAACAUAAAAACAGUACAGGACAAUGAAAACAUUUAAGGUUUGCCAACACAAAAGUUGAAACCAGUAAAUACAUCUGGUCCAAUUCUGAACAUCAGUAUAAGAGCAUUAAAAUAAACUAUGUUGAAAAUGGAAAA